AGUCUGUAGUUUGGGAGCUGCGCAGAGUUGGUGGCAUUCUAGGGCACACAGGAUUUAUAGUAAAAAUAUCCUCUGAAGAAAGCAGAGUAAGACUGACCAAAUCCCAGCCAACUCAUGUGCAAUUUUCUUCAUAUAGUUCCUGGGCACUGCUGCUAUGACAAUAAUGAGGGGGUAGCAUAUCUUAAUAGGAGAAACUCCAAAAUUGGGAAAUUGUCUGCAGGAAUGAAUGGACUAUGAUCUGUUGGACACGAAGCACUACUACAGAU